rnacentral:rRNA from 1 species
UACGAAGUGGGCUAGCGUUGUUCGGAAUCACUGGGCGUAAAGGGCGCGUAGGCGGCUUUAUAAGUCGGGGGUGAAAGCCUGUGGCUCAACCACAGAAUUGCCUUCGAUACUGUAGAGCUUGAGACCGGAAGAGGUUAGUGGAACUGCGAGUGUAGAGGUGAAAUUCGUAGAUAUUCGCAAGAACACCAGUGGCGAAGGCGGCUGACUGGUCCGGUUCUGACGCUGAGGCGCGAAAGCGUGGGGAGCAAACAGG